rnacentral:rRNA from 1 species
UACGUAGGGUGCGAGCGUUGUCCGGAAUUAUUGGGCGUAAAGGGCUCGUAGGCGGUUUGUCACGUCGGGAGUGAAAACUCGGGGCUUAACCCCGAGCCUGCUUCCGAUACGGGCAGACUAGAGGUAUGCAGGGGAGAACGGAGUUCCUGGUGUAGCGGUGAAAUGCGCAGAUAUCAGGAGGAACACCGGUGGCGAAGGCGGUUCUCUGGGCAUUACCUGACGCUGAGGAGCGAAAGUGUGGGGAGCGAACAGG